UUGAACGCUGGCGGAAUGCUUUACACAUGCAAGUCGAACGGCAGCACGGGGGCAACCCUGGUGGCGAGUGGCGAACGGGUGAGUAACACAUCGGAACGUGUCCUGUAAUGGGGGAUAACCUGGCGAAAGCCAGGCUAAUACCGCAUACGUCCUGAGGGAGAAAGCGGGGGAUCGCAAGACCUCGCGUUAUAGGAGCGGCCGAUGUCGGAUUAGCUAGUUGGUGGGGUAAAGGCCUACCAAGGCGACGAUCCGUAGCGGGUCUGAGAGGACGGCCCGCCACACUGGGACUGAGACACGGCCCAGACUCCUACGGGAGGCAGCAGUGGGGAAUUUUGGACAAUGGGCGCAAGCCUGAUCCAGCCAUGCCGCGUGAGUGAAGAAGGCCUUCGGGUUGUAAAGCUCUUUCGGCCGGGAAGAAAUCGCAUCCUCUAAUACGGGGUGUGGAUGACGGUACCGGAAGAAGAAGCACCGGCUAACUACGU
rnacentral:rRNA from 1 species